ensembl:lncRNA
GCUGCAUCAGAGCUCCACUUGUCCUCAGGUUCCCCAGAGGAAACACCGCUGCACAAAAUGCUUCUCCUCCCAGCUGCUGCUCUGUGCUGUCUGUGUUCAGGUGAGUGAUUCCAGCCAAUCAGGAGCCUCCACCUGUGACCCACACGCUCACACUGACCUUCAUCUACCUGUCCGUCUCUCUGCAGCCAUGGUUGCCACGGCAGCAGAGGAGCUGAUUCAGGACCAGUUAUCAUUGACCAGGAGAGUUGGUCAGUCAGCCUCUUUCACCUGUGAACAAACUCAGAGGUGUGACACUGAUUAUGUUCGCUGGUACCAGAAGAAAGAAACAUUCACUCUGAUUCUGCGUAUUAGAAGGAGUAGUGGUGCUGUAGAAAAAGGUUAUGGUCAUCCUCAGAAAGAUGAUUUCUCAGCUGUUAAUAUCCAGAACGGCUGUGAGUUGAAGAUCGACAAAGUUAAACUCUCUCAUUCAGCCUCCUACUACUGCAUCUGUGAGAAGUAUGAUCCCCACAGUGAGAAAAGAUCCCUGCAGCCUGAACAAAAACCUUCAGAUGAACUGAUGUCAAACAGUGUUAGUGACAGGAAGACAGCAGGAAACCACAGCCCAGGGUCACAGAUUUCACCUCCAGCUCAGACUCUUGUUCUGGACUCUUCUCUGAUAUUGAUUCAUAUUUGGAUGAGAUAUUUCAGCAGCUUUCCUGUUGGUCCACACAGUGAGGACGAAGAAGACACACAGGAGCACAAUAAGAAAACAAGAGGAGGAACUGAAUGAAUCAAAUCCUGAUGAAGAGACCUGACAGACCUGCUCCACCAGAGUCACAAUGUGGUCCAGGAGGAAGGACCAAAGAAGAAGAGACAGUGAUGUUGAUGUGGACAUCAGCUGAAAUAUGAUCCUGGUUCAUAAUGUGGACUCGUUCAGCUCAGCUGACACAUUCAACAGCAGACAGGUUUUUGUAUCAGUCUCUGUCACUGUGGGAGGAUACUGGCGCUUCAUCUUUGGCUCUGGAACUAAACUGUAUGUAACAGAUGAGCCGGUAGUGAAGCCCGUGGUGAGCGUGUACCCGGCAGCAUCCAGAGCCCACCUGGAGGGGAAGAGCUCCCUGCUGUGUCUGGCCUCAGCCAUGUCUCCUCCUCUGGUCCAGUUCUCCUGGAAAAGACAGAAGGAGGACGGUCCUCUGGAGGAGCUGCCCCCUGCCGAGGGAGAGCAGCUGCAGCUCACACAGUUGGGACGGGGACGCUCCGCCGCCAUCUUGACCGUCCGUCAGCCAGAGAGCGCCACGUAUAAAUACAUCUGCUCCGUCAGGCACGAGGGCGGCACAGCGGAGGGCCCGACACAACAAGUUGCAGUGCUUCCCCUGGAUCCUCUCCAGCCUCAGAGCAGGGUGAAGCUGCUCUGUCUGCUCUACACAGUGCUGAUAGUGAAGAGUCUGGUGUACUGCUGUGGACUCUCUCUGCUGAUGAGCCUCAGAGACGACGGACCGUCCACCAACUACACUGACUGACUUCAUCUCAGUCAUCACAAUUUUCCCUCCCAUGUAUGUUGUUCUUCACAGCUUAGAUAGAAUCAGCUGCUUCUCACACGUUUCCUUCUUCUUUGUGUUUUUCUCCUCCUGUGUGUCGUGUUAGUGCAGAUUCAGCUGAGAGACACUUUCAAUAAAACCAGAUCAGAUCUCGCUCUGUCACUUUCUGCAGGUUUUUUAUUGAAAACUUUCUGCAGUUUCAUGAAAACACGACGGUGUGAUUCAUAUAUAUGUUAGACAGUUUCAACUCUGAACUUUACUUUUGUUUUCAUGCUGAAAAUCCAACUUGAAUAAAAAGACGUGAAUCAAUCUUCAUUUCUGGUCUUUUUGUCUCCAUCACAGAAUGAUCACA